AAUGAGAAAAUUAGAGAGGGAGGGUGGGGGGCAAGAGCACCAAAAAAGGAUAAAAAGAGGAGGAAAAGAAGGGGGGGGUGGGAAACCUACCUGUGAAGUCUUGUUUGUAGUUUUGGCCAGAAAUGGUGAGAAGAAAAAGCAUGAAGAAGCCGCGAAGUGUGGGGGAGAAAAAGGUGGAGGCGAAGAAACAGCUCCCGGAGCAAACUGAACAAAACCUCGCCAAGAGUGUCUGGAGGCAGGACCGUUAUUCCUGCCGAGCAGGGGAGAGAAGAGAGACCCUGAAACACGCGCCACCUAUCUUUGUGGGGAGGGAUAAUUGAAGCGCCCUGAGCAUGCCAGAGCUAGGGGAGGGAAAUGCUACUUGUACACUGCAUCUUAGGAUCUCAGUGUGCAGUGUAUGUGUGUAUGUGUGUGUGUGUGUGGGGGGGAGAUUUUCUGGAUUGGAUCCCUAUAUUAAAAGUUUGGCAUUUUAA
rnacentral:lncRNA from 1 species